rnacentral:rRNA from 1 species
UGCAAGUCGAACGGUAACAGGCCGCAAGGUGCUGACGAGUGGCGAACGGGUGAGUAAUGCAUCGGAACGUGCCCAGUCGUGGGGGAUAACGCAGCGAAAGCUGCGCUAAUACCGCAUACGAUCUAUGGAUGAAAGCGGGGGACCGUAAGGCCUCGCGCGAUUGGAGCGGCCGAUGUCAGAUUAGGUAGUUGGUGGGGUAAAGGCUCACCAAGCCAACGAUCUGUAGCUGGUCUGAGAGGACGACCAGCCACACUGGGACUGAGACACGGCCCAGACUCCUACGGGAGGCAGCAGUGGGGAAUUUUGGACAAUGGGCGCAAGCCUGAUCCAGCAAUGCCGCGUGCAGGAAGAAGGCCUUCGGGUUGUAAACUGCUUUUGUACGGAACGAAACGGCUCUGGUUAAUACCUGGGGCUAAGGGCGGUACCGUAAGAAUAAGCACCGGCUAACUACGUGCCAGCAGCCGCGGUAAUACGUAGGGUGCAAGCGUUAAUCGGAAUUACUGGGCGUAAAGCGUGCGCAGGCGGUUUUGUAAGACAGGCGUGAAAUCCCCGGGCUCAACCUGGGAAUGGCGCUUGUGACUGCAAAGCUGGAGUGCGGCAGAGGGGGAUGGAAUUCCGCGUGUAGCAGUGAAAUGCGUAGAUAUGCGGAGGAACACCGAUGGCGAAGGCAAUCCCCUGGGCCUGCACUGACGCUCAUGCA